UUGAAAGGAGGUGAUCCAGCCAUACCGCGUGUGUGAAGAAGGCCUUCGGGUUGUAAAGCACUUUAAGCAGGGAGAAAAAGUUAUAAGUUAAUACCUUAUAACCCUGAUGUUACCUGCAGAAUAAGCACCGGCUAAUUCCGUGCCAGCAGCCGCGGUAAUACGGAAGGUGCAAGCGUUAAUCGGAAUUACUGGGCGUAAAGCGCGCGUAGGUGGUUUGUUAAGUUGGAUGUGAAAGCCCUGGGCUCAACCUAGGAACUGCAUCCAAAACUAACUCACUAGAGUACGAUAGAGGGAGGUAGAGUUCAUAGUGUAGCGGUGGAAUGCGUAGAUAUUAUGAAGAAUACCAGUGGCGAAGGCGGCCUCCUGGAUCUGUACUGACACUGAGGUGCGAAAACGUGGGUAGCGAACAGGAUUAGAUACCCUGGUAGUCCACGCCGUAAACGAUGACAACUAGCUGUUGGGAGACUAUGUCUUUCAGUGGCGCAGCUAACGCUUUAAGUUGUCCGCCUGGGGAGUACGGCCGCAAGGCUAAAACUCAAAUGAAUUGACGGGGACCCGCACAAGCGGUGGAGCAUGUGGUUUAAUUCGAUGCAACGCGAAAAACCUUACCUACUCUUGACAUACUUGGGAGCUCUUGUAAUGAGAGUGUGCCUUAUGGAACCAAGAUACAGGUGCUGCAUGGCUGUCGUCAGCUCGUGUCGUGAGAUGUUCCGUUAAGUCGGAUAACGAGCGCAACCCUUACCCUUAUUUGCCAGCGAUUCGGUCGGGAACUAUAAGGGGACUGCCGGUGAUAAACCGGAGGAAGGUGAGGACGACGUCAAGUCAUCAUGGCCCUUACGAGUAGGGCUACACACGUGCUACAAUGGGGAAUGCAGACGGACGCUAAGCCGCGAGGUGGUGCUAAUCCUAGAAAGUUUCUCGUAGUCCGGAUUGGAGUCUGCAACUCGACUCCAUGAAGUCGGAAUCGCUAGUAAUCGCGGAUCA
rnacentral:rRNA from 1 species